UUGAAUUAUCAAUUACGUAUGUGAACCAGCUGAACCACAUUCUUUGUGGGUAGGCGUAACCGCUGACGGACUUUGAGCCGUCAGUCUUUUUUACCAACCCUUUAUCAUUGACUUUGACUGAAAUCUUUAAAACUUAAAGA
rnacentral:misc_RNA from 1 species